UACGAAGGGUGCAAGCGUUACUCGGAAUUACUGGGCGUAAAGCGUGCGUAGGCGGUUUGUUAAGUCUGAUGUGAAAGCCCUGGGCUCAACCUGGGAAUGGCAUUGGAUACUGGCAACCUAGAAUGUGGUAGAGGGUGGCGGAAUUCCCGGUGUAGCAGUGAAAUGCGUAGAUAUCGGGAGGAACAUCCGUGGCGAAGGCGGCCACCUGGACCAACAUUGACGCUGAGGCACGAAAGCGUGGGGAGCAAACGGG
rnacentral:rRNA from 1 species